AUUUUGACUUAACUUCGUGUCCUAAACAUUUCUGCAAAGUUUUAAGACCGGACAGUGUUUAAUUAAUUAGUUACGCUAAUUACAUAAGUGGCGAAUCCGUUGCCCUCUGGAAUUUGCGUUUUCACGAAGCGGCGAAUCCCUGAUUCGCCACUUUGUGAAAACGCGACGCGCACACAUUGCGUUUCCACGAAGUGGCGAAUAACCUUUAUCUCAGGGCUGCGUUGUUGUUGUCACGUCGUCACGUAUACAAAACUAUUUCGUUCUCACGGCUCAUCAUCAUGCGACGGGCUGUCCUGGUAAGUCGAUAUGUAAGCUUGACAUCUGCAGUUUCAGAAGUGUCAACAUCAGACUGUUUGGCGUGCCUUGAUGUGAAACAGCUGUUCUGGUUCAGCAUGAGUGAAAAAUGCUGCAUCUCUUCAGGAACAGAACUGUAAAACUGGGUACAGGUGUUUCUGAGGCGAUGCUGUGCACGAUGGACACGAUUCCAACAGAACCUUCUUCGUGUCCUUAUUUAGGCUCAUUGCUUGCACAAAAAACCCUUAACAGUUGGAAUGCAUGAG